rnacentral:lncRNA from 1 species
AAAAGCAGAAGUAGGAAAUAUCCUAAUAGAGUUUGUAAAAAUAGUAAAAAGCCAAUUCCAAACUCAAAUCAAACAAAUAAGGUCAGAUGAUGGAUUCACUACAAAAAAAAGUAGGCAGUUAGAACGAGCAAAGUUAACGGAAUUUCCGUUAAUAACGGAAAUUCCGUUAACUUUGGUCCGAGACAAAAUUUUCGUUACAAAUACCAAAAUCUGUUACAAAAAUCCGUUACAAAUACUCUGAAGUUAAAGUUAACGGAACGAAAAAUCCAUUACAAAAUUUUUAGGUAUUUGUAACGAAAUUUCCGUUACAAAUUCCGUUACAAAUGAGGAAAAAAAAAUUUGUAACGGAAUUUCCGUUAUAAUUUUUUUUUUUGCAAAAAAAAAUUCCAGAAUUCCAGUAUUCCUGUAAAAUCAUUGCAAAUUCCUGUAAAUUCAUGCAAUUAAUAUUAAUUCCUGUAAAUUCAUUCAAUAUUCAACAAAUAUUCAAUACAAAAACAACAUUCAACAAAAUUAACAUUCAAGAAAACUAACAUUCGACAAAAAUAACAUGGAAGACCUAUUUCGAUGGAGGAGUUUGAUAUCUUUGAUCGCUCUGACCUGCAUUAAUACUUCUAUCUUGCAACGAUCCACGAUCUGAAGGUUGUAGAGUUGUAUUUGAUUGGGAUAAAACUGUUUUCUUCAGGUCUUCAAACAUAUCAAACAUUUCAUCAUAUUUCCUUUUUAAAAUUUGAUUAUCCUGUAAAACAUUUAAGAUUCAUUUAUAUUUAUGUAUUACUUUAAAAUUUUAUUGACUUUCAUACACAUAUCUCUAUUAACUUCUCCAUUUGAUCGUUCAUUUUUUCUUUUCCUUUUUCUUUUUCUUUUUCUUUUUCUUUUUCUUUCUCGAUAGAUCUUGCAUUCAUUUCAAUUGAAAAUCUGGUAGAAGCAGUGCUCGACUCAG